rnacentral:miRNA from 1 species
CCAAGUCUUACUCUGUCACCG